rnacentral:rRNA from 2 species
UGGGACAAAUGAUUGGGGUGAAGUCGUAACAAGGUAGCCGUAUCGGAAGGUGCGGCUGGAUCACCUCCUUUCUAAGGA